rnacentral:rRNA from 1 species
AGGGAAUCUUCCACAAUGGACGAAAGUCUGAUGGAGCAACGCCGCGUGAGCGAUGAAGGCCUUCGGGUCGUAAAGCUCUGUUGUUACGGAAGAACAAGUGCGAGAGUAACUGCUCGCACCUUGACGGUACCUAACCAGAAAGCCACGGCUAACUACGUGCCAGCAGCCGCGGUAAUACGUAGGUGGCAAGCGUUGUCCGGAAUUAUUGGGCGUAAAGCGCGCGCAGGUGGUCCUUUAAGUCUGAUGUCAAAGCCCACGGCUCAACCGUGGAGG